rnacentral:rRNA from 1 species
GACGAACGCUGGCGGCGUGCUUAACACAUGCAAGUCGAACGGAAAGGCCCUGCUUGUGGGGGACGCUCGUGGGGAGAACGGGUGAGUAACGCGUGAGUUACCUGCCGUUGACCUUGGGAUAACUUCAGGAAACUGGGGCUAAUACCAGAGAGGAGCUCCUGCUGGUGGGUGUGGGAUGGAAAGUUUCGGCGGGUGGGGAUGGACGCGCGGCUUAUCAGCUUGUUGGUGGGGUAGUGGCUUACCAAGGCUUUGACGGGUAGCCGGCCUGAGAGGGUGACCGGCCACAUUGGGACUGAGAUACGGCCCAGACUCCUACGGGAGGCAGCAGUGGGGAAUAUUGCACAAUGGGCGGAAGCCUGAUGCAGCAACGCCGCGUGCGGGAUGACGGCCUUCGGGUUGUAAACCGCUUUCGCUUGUGACGAAGCGUGUGUGACGGUAACUAGUUAAGAAGCACCGGCUAACUACGUG